rnacentral:rRNA from 1 species
GGCUAAGGCGCUAGGCGGCGUGCCUAUACAUGCAGUCGAGCGGACAGAAGGGAGCUUGCUCCCGGAUGUUAGCGGCGGACGGGUGAGUAACACGUGGGUAACCUGCCUGUAAGACUGGGAUAACUCCGGGAAACCGGAGCUAAUACCGGAUAGUUCCUUGAACCGCAUGGUUCAAGGAUGAAAGACGGUUUCGGCUGUCACUUACAGAUGGACCCGCGGCGCAUUAGCUAGUUGGUGGGGUAAUGGCUCACCAAGGCGACGAUGCGUAGCCGACCUGAGAGGGUGAUCGGCCACACUGGGACUGAGACACGGCCCAGACUCCUACGGGAGGCAGCAGUAGGGAAUCUUCCGCAAUGGACGAAAGUCUGACGGAGCAACGCCGCGUGAGUGAUGAAGGUUUUCGGAUCGUAAAGCUCUGUUGUUAGGGAAGAACAAGUGCGAGAGUAACUGCUCGCACCUUGACGGUACCUAACCAGAAAGCCACGGCUAACUACGUGCCAGCAGCCGCGGUAAUACGUAGGUGGCAAGCGUUGUCCGGAAUUAUUGGGCGUAAAGGGCUCGCAGGCGGUUUCUUAAGUCUGAUGUGAAAGCCCCCGGCUCAACCGGGGAGGGUCAUUGGAAACUGGGAAACUUGAGUGCAGAAGAGGAGAGUGGAAUUCCACGUGUAGCGGUGAAAUGCGUAGAGAUGUGGAGGAACACCAGUGGCGAAGCGACUCUCUGGUCUGUAACUGACGCUGAGGAGCGAAAGCGUGGGGAGCGAACAGGAUUAGAUACCCUGGUAGUCCACGCCGUAAACGAUGAGUGCUAAGUGUUAGGGGGUUUCCGCCCCUUAGUGCUGCAGCUAACGCAUUAAGCACUCCGCCUGGGGAGUACGGUCGCA